UUCCUGCAUAUUUUCUUUUCACAUUCGCUGGUUAGACAAUAGGACGGUUCGACCGCAGUCUGAUCUGGAACCCUGACUCUCAUGAAGUGUUUCUGUUUGACUACAAUCUAUGGAGCUUCUUAACGUUCAAUACCGUGCUGAGUGAAACGUCAGCGCAGGUUGGUCGCUGCAUCUGAUGUUUUUUCAGCAUGACGAAUAACAGCAGCAGACGCAGCUACGGCUCUAAAUUCAAAGUUCUCGGGCAAAUGAAGCUGUGAGGACUGAGGAUCCUCAUCAUCAUCCUCACUCUUCACAUGGACUGGACUGAAGGCGAACUUGGCGACACCAGUGUCCUCAGGUCCAUGGAGCUGUUCUUCAUCCUGGCUGGUGCACGGUUCCUCCUGUUCCUCUUUAAUGAAGUGAGGCUCCAGAUCCUCCUGUUCCAGUCUGGAGCUCAGCACCUGAUCGGACGGGGCCUCAUCACAUACUAACAGCUGCUGGACGUCUGCAGGAUACCCUGAAGCACAGAACAGCAGAAAGACUGUCAGACAUGGUUUUGCCAGGUGAGUGAUUCACAGACUCAUCGCAGCUGCUGUUUACCGUGUGGCAACAUUGACACUUGCUCUGCCUCCAGGACCUUACCUGGACUGACCUGCCCUGUGCAGCCGGACCUCGGGCUUCAACACGGCGUCCAGCAGCCUCCUCUGGCGGCACACCUCCCGCUCGGACCGCUCCACUCUGUCUUCAUACUUCGCCACGGCUUCCUCGAACAGACCGACUAUCU